rnacentral:rRNA from 1 species
AUCAACGCUGGCGGCGUGCCUAACACAUGCAAGUCGCACGAGAAAGGGGAGCAAUCCCUGAGUAAAGUGGCGCACGGGUGAGUAACACGUGAAUAAUCUACCUCCGAGUGGGGAAUAACUGAGAGAAAUCUUAGCUAAUACCGCAUAACACUUACGAGUCAAAGCAGCAAUGCGCUUGGAGAGGAGUUCGCGGCCGAUUAGUUAGUUGGCGGGGUAAUGGCCCACCAAGACGAUGAUCGGUAUCCGGCCUGAGAGGGCGCACGGACACACUGGAACUGAAACACGGUCCAGACUCCUACGGGAGGCAGCAGUGGGGAAUUUGCGCAAUGGGGGAAACCCUGACGCAGCAACGCCGCGUGGAGGAUGAAAUCCCUUGGGAUGUAAACUCCUUUCGAUAGGGAAGAUAAUGACGGUACCUAUAGAAGAAGCCCCGGCUAACUUCGUGCCAGCAGCCGCUGUAA